GCCCCUGGAGAGUCGUUCGUGUCACUUGGGGAUUCGAAGUUCCGGUCAGAAUGUGUGACGAUGACGUUGCCGCCCUCGUUGUGGAUAAUGGAUCUGGUCUAUGCAAGGCUGGAUUCGCUGGAGACGACGCCCCUCGUGCCGUCUUCCCCUCGAUCGUAGGCCGCCCCCGUCACCAGGGAGUCAUGGUCGGUAUGGGCCAGAAGGACUCGUACGUCGGCGAUGAGGCUCAGUCGAAACGUGGUAUUCUCACCUUGAAGUACCCGAUUGAGCACGGUAUCGUCACUAACUGGGAUGAUAUGGAGAAGAUCUGGCACCAUACCUUCUACAACGAGCUCCGUAUCGCUCCCGAGGAGCACCCCGUGUUGCUCACUGAGCCCCCCCUUAACCCCAAGGCUAACCGUGAAAAGAUGACCCAGAUCAUGUUCGAGACAUUUAACACUCCGGCCAUGUACGUCGCCAUCCAAGCCGUGCUGUCCCUGUACGCCUCUGGCCGUACCACCGGUAUUGUGCUUGAUUCCGGUGACGGUGUGUCGCACACCGUACCUAUCUAUGAAGGCUAUGCUCUUCCUCAUGCUAUCCUUCGUCUCGAUCUUGCCGGUCGUGAUCUGACUGACUACUUGAUGAAAAUCCUUACCGAGCGUGGUUAUUCAUUCGUCACCACCGCUGAGCGUGAAAUCGUGCGUGAUAUUAAGGAGAAGUUGUGCUACGUCGCCCUGGAUUUCGAGCAAGAGAUGGCCACCGCUGCUUCUUCGUCGUCCUUAGAAAAGUCGUACGAGCUUCCCGACGGUCAGGUCAUCACCAUUGGUAACGAGCGUUUCCGUUGCCCCGAGUCUCUGUUCCAGCCCUCGUUCAUCGGAAUGGAGUCAUGCGGUAUCCAUGAGACUACCUUCAACUCAAUCAUGAAGUGCGACAUUGAUAUCCGUAAGGAUCUGUACGCUAACACCGUUCUCUCUGGUGGUACCACCAUGUAUCCCGGUAUUGCUGACCGUAUGCAGAAAGAAAUCACCUCUUUGGCUCCCUCAACCAUGAAAAUUAAGAUCAUUGCUCCCCCCGAGAGGAAGUAUUCCGUCUGGAUCGGCGGUUCCAUCCUUGCCUCCCUGUCCACCUUCCAGCAGAUGUGGAUCUCGAAGGAGGAAUACGACGAGUCUGGCCCUGCCAUCGUACACAGGAAGUGCUUCUAAGAAAUUUAAGUCCAUCACUGCCAAAGUCGGGACUACGCCCGGUUUCGCUCUCUUCCGAAUGCCAUCAUCCAGGAGGAGACCUCGACGAAAAGGAUGAUCAAUAACUCAAAAACCGCCAAACGAAACAACAUCGAAUCCUUCCAUAUUUACACCAUCUAAUAAACCAAAGAACAUUGCAAUCUUUAUACAGAUA